rnacentral:rRNA from 1 species
UCUACGGGGGGCAGCAGUAAGGAAUAUUGGUCAAUGGACGAAAGUCUGAACCAGCCAUCCCGCGUGCAGGAUGAAAGCCCUAUGGGUUGUAAACUGCUUUUAGCAGAGAAGAAAAGCUUUCAUUAAUGAGAGUCUGACGGUAUCUGCAGAAUAAGCACCGGCUAACUCCGUGCCAGCAGCCGCGGUAAUACGGAGGGUGCGAGCGUUAUCCGGAAUUACUGGGUUGAAGGCGUGGGAAGACGGAGGUUGUGAAAGCUUGUCGCUUAACGAUACAAUUGCCAAUGAUACUGGUACUCUUGAAUUGGGUUGAGGUUAGCGGAAUGUGACAUGUAGCGGUGAAAUGCAUAGAUAUGUCAUGGAACACCAAUUGCGAAGGCAGCUAACUGGGCCUUGAUUGACGCUGAGGCACGAAAGCGUGGGUAGCGAACAGGAUUAGAUACCCCAGUAGUC